rfam:Rattus norvegicus chromosome 1, whole genome shotgun sequence.
GGGGAUUUGGCUCAGCGGUAGAGCGCUUGCCUAGCAAGCGCAAGGCCCUGGGUUCAGUCCCCA